CUUAAUUGGGCGUUAAGUUGCAGGGUAUAGACCCGAAACCCGGUGAUCUAGCCAUGGGCAGGUUGAAGGUUGGGUAACACUAACUGGAGGACCGAACCGACUAAUGUUGAAAAAUUAGCGGAUGACCUGUGGCUGGGGGUGAAAGGCCAAUCAAACCGGGAGAUAGCUGGUUCUCCCCGAAAGCUAUUUAGGUAGCGCCUCGUGAAUUCAUCUCCGGGGGUAGAGCACUGUUUCGGCUAGGGGGCCAUCCCGGCUUACCAACCCGAUGCAAACUGCGAAUACCGGAGAAUGUUAUCACGGGAGACACACGGCGGGUGCUAACGUCCGUCGUGAAGAGGGAAACAACCCAGACCGCCAGCUAAGGUCCCAAAGUCAUGGUUAAGUGGGAAACGAUGUGGGAAGGCCCAGACAGCCAGGAUGUUGGCUUAGAAGCAGCCAUCAUUUAAAGAAAGCGUAAUAGCUCACUGGUCGAGUCGGCCUGCGCGGAAGAUGUAACGGGGCUAAACCAUGCACCGAAGCUGCGGCAGCGAACGUAUCACUUAAAGCGAUUCAGCGGGUUACGAUUGACGGAGCGAAGCGACGUCAAAGCGUAUACAAAGUCGAGUCGGUUUAAGGAUACGUUCGUUGGGUAGGGGAGCGUUCUGUAAGCCUGCGAAGGUGGCCUGUGAGGGUUGCUGGAGGUAUCAGAAGUGCGAAUGCUGACAUAAGUAACGAUAAAGCGGGUGAAAAGCCCGCUCGCCGGAAGACCAAGGGUUCCUGUCCAACGUUAAUCGGGGCAGGGUGAGUCGACCCCUAAGGCGAGGCCGAAAGGCGUAGUCGAUGGGAAACGGGUUAAUAUUCCCGUACUUGGUGUUACUGCGAAGGGGGGACGGAGAAGGCUAUGUUGGCCGGGCGACGGUUGUCCCGGUUUAAGCGUGUAGGUGUGUGUUCCAGGUAAAUCCGGUU
rnacentral:rRNA from 1 species